rnacentral:lncRNA from 1 species
AAACUGAAGUCCAGUGAUGCGGGGUCAUGUCCAGAAGUGAUAAUAGGCUUCUAAUGUGGAGAAAAGUUUUGAAAAUCCAUCCUGCAGAAAAUGAGUGCACAGGAAGCAGCACAGUUUGAAUGUGUCUUAGUUAGUGGCUUGCUUAUUCCAGUGUGGGCGUGAGAAGAAAGUUUCAGAAGGUGAAUCUGGGAUACAGUGAUAGGGAUUUCAAAGCAGGCAAUAUUUCAUAAGGAUUGAUCCUAGUACUUGGCUUCUUUAUGUUUAGGAAAUCCCUCCAUCAGGUCAUGUGAGCACAGAAAAAUUGCAAUUGGAUUGAUGAUAUUUACUGGGAAUAGGAAAUGUAAUUUGGUUAAGAUGUAAGGCUGAGAGCACAAAAGGUGUAGAUGAAGGAGGACUGUGCAAAACAAUGUUGUGCAGAAACAUCAAGCUUAGUGAUGGUAGAGGUGCUCAUCAAGUAAAUGUGCUGUUUUGUUUUUGUUUCUUGCAGGAUUCCGGAACGUGAUGUGGAUUUUGAGACUGGAGUUUGCAGAAGAGUUUUCAGAAACUCUAUAACAAAGGCUACAAGCUACAAGCUGAAUUUAGAGGAGUUCAACAUGAAGACAAGAAAAGGACUGGAGGUGCUGCUUGAAUGCCCUUUCCCCUCUCUGCCAUACUGCUGGAGGAUUUUGGUAUUCCAUACUCAAGCUUGGAGUUUGGGCUUGCUUUUCUGCCUCCUCCACUUUUGUCAUGGAGACUGCAAUGAGCAGUGUCAACAGAAGACACAUUACUGGAGGGAGAAGAAUAAUUUAUACAUCUAGGAGAAAAAAAGAAAAAGAAAAGAAGAAAGAACAUUGUUCCUCCAGUCUUUGAUGUUUAUUUAGUGACUGAGUAUCAAUUAUCUGUUUGAACAGGUUUCAUUACAGAAAGUGCAAAACCCCUGAGCUUGUUUUAAAAUAUGCUAAUCCUUACUCAGGCAGGAAAUGGAAAAGACUCAUUUACAGUUUAAUUUCUAAUCCAUGUGGCUUGACAUGUUGUAUGCUGGAACAUAAAUAGAGAAGCUGGAGAGGACAGCUCUCUCAAUAAACAGGUGCUGCAGCUUUGUGUUUGCUGCUUA